CAUUAAAUGACUGAAAAAGUAUUGAUCUUUUAAAUCAAAUUAUAAUAGUUAAUCCUAUUUUUAAUGA
rnacentral:tRNA from 1 species